rnacentral:sRNA from 1 species
GGUAGAGUCCCGUGGGGGGUCAGCUCUGCCUCCCGGCGCCGGCUUCGCCUCGGGUCCUUUGUACUCCUCGCCCAGGGGUCCCCAGCUUGCUGAGCUCCUGGCUCCCGAAGCCGUUCCCCUGCUGCGGGCGCGUCCUCGGGCCUAGGGAGGGGCGGGUCGCCCUCCUGUCCUGCCCGUGUUAACCAGGGAAGACCCCUGGCCUGGGUAGUAAGCCAGGGGGCGUCAGGAAACGCCCCCUAGAAAGUGGCUCUGAAGUUGACACCCGUCCUACUGCAUGGCAGGACUCAUUCCCGUGAACAUCACUUUGCAGCUGCGUUUAUGUUGCAAUAACUGGAACUACUCUUUUAAGUUUCUUUUGUUUUCUUUAUAUGAAUUCCCGGCAAGUUCGUUUUACUAAAAGCACCAAAGGUUUUCACCAGACAUAACAGCUUCCUGAGGUGCUAGGCCUAAAAGAUUUUUAAAGAUCUUUAAUAUUUGUAUGUUUUCAUGGAGACGCCCUGAGGGUGUUUACUGUCACUAGGUAUUCCAACUUUAUUAUAUGGACUUGGCUCCUGGUUAUUUGCCAGAGUCACAGAGACUGUGCAUACCAGUUAUGGACCCAUAACAGUUUAUUUUCUCAAUAAAGAAGAUGAAGGUGCCAUGUAUUGAAAAGUGUGCAUCGAAGAACAUAAAUAUCAGUGGAUUUUCUCUGUGUAUAUGUGCAGUAUUUAUUUUUGAUCCUUUAAAAUAAAACUUUUGCAAAUAC